AAGGAGAAAAAACAGAAGGAAAAAAGGUAAACAAAACAUAGAACCCCUCUUUCUACUUAUGUUUUUUUUGUUUUUACUUCGAUCCGGCCUUGCAUGUCGCCUGCAAGUCCCGAUUCGUAGGUCUAAAGUUUGAGUUUUCGAUUUCUAUGGUCUUUUUCUGACUUGUUUUUUAAUUUCCUUUCUCUUUGUGGUUGGGAUUUGAUGGAGAAGAAAGAGAACUACGAUGGCUGCCGAUGAUAUGGCCGACGACAGCGGAGAGGUGGCGGACAAGGGGAUGGUGAGUUACAUAUAUAAUCUCUGUUUUAUUCUUCUUAGUUAAUUUAUUUCGAAAAUAGAAAGGAGACUGACUUUUUGGGUGUUAUUUUUAGGUAAAAACCUUUCAAAUUAAUCGGGAAAUCAGAAGGAAAGGGACCGAAUCGGUGGAGGAAAAAUAAUGUGACGUUGUAACUGUUAUUACGAAAUGAGGUGUUAUAAUUUUUUUAGGUGUUAACUUGUAUUUUGAUAGCUAAAGACUCAGCCGUUCCAAUAUUGAAAUAAGCCUAACAAACUUAACACCAUGAAAAUCAUUUAAAAAUUUGGAUUAUUUUACCUUUUUAAUGAAAUUCCAUCAACUUGUUUUAACCAGGAA
rnacentral:lncRNA from 1 species